rnacentral:ribozyme from 15 species
AAAAAAAAAAAAAAAAAAAAAAGAAAAAAAAAAAAAAAA